rnacentral:tRNA from 1 species
GGGCGGGUGGCGAAAUGGUAUACGCGCUGGUUUUAGGAACCAGUGGAGCAAUCCGUGGAGGUUCAAGUCCUCUCCCGCCCACAA